GUGGAAACAGCUGACAGCACCCAGGGAAUCCACGUGCUGCUCGCGAAUUUUCAACUCGUAGUAAACAAAAAGUUGUAAAGUUAUGUAAAUAAGCUUCCUUAUAUGGAACUAGUGACGUCACACAGUAGUUUGUAAUUUCGCUACAGAUGUCACUACUGCUCUCGGUUGUAAGACGAUUCAAUCUCUUUAAAUACUACUCCUGAGUUGUUAACCACAACUAUAAGAAACAGAGUAACAUUUUCCAUCCACAGAAGUGCCAAUGCAUUGUACAGGAAGAGUACAGAGCUAAGCUUGACAUCAACAAUAGUCAUGAACUACUGCUGAAACCAUGUACAAAAGGCAAGAUUGAAGUAAGGAGUGGCAUGUGGGUGAACGAAACACCUCUGGAUAUUUCAGCCGAAGAUGUCCAGAACUUGAUAGCUGCACCUAUAAUACGCUGCACUGAGCUAAUGCCUGAACAGCAAAAACUGUUGAACACUACUGCUGCAUGCCAAAUUGUGGUGAACCAAGAAGAUAUGUGCCAGAAGUUUGAAAUAGUGAAGAAAUGUUUUCAACCUGACAUUCAAGCCCGACCCAAAGAGCUGAAAAGUGGCGAACUGGGCCAAGCUACAGAGAAUGAAGUGUGUAAAUUGCAAGAAAACCUUGACCCCCUUACAACAUUGUUCAAUUAUUUGAUAAUGCAGGCAGCCAUCUUAGAUUCGGACGUUGCUGUCUUGAUAGGGUUCGUAAUGCCUAUAUAUUCCCACACACCAAAUUUGGCUUGGUUAUGUCGCUGACUUCUUCAUAUUUCACGUUCCCAAGUGCACUCACGAGAUAUCAACACGUAAGGUGGCAGCCAUCUUGGAUUUUGACGCGGUGACCUAGUUUUUGAUAGGGUUCUGACUAAUACCUACAUGUAUAUGCAAGUACACACCAAAUUUGGCUAAGAUAGUUGCGACUCUUCCAGAUAUCGCGUUCACAAGUGCACUACUGAGAUUUCAACACAUAAGAUGGCAGCCAUUUUGGAUUUUGUCACGGUGACUACUUUGCCUUAUGCCUACAUGUACUUACACACAAAAUUUAGCUUUGAUACAUUGCCAACUUCUCCAGGUA